GAUGAACGCUAGCGACAGGCUUAACACAUGCAAGUCGAGGGGCAGCAUAAAAGUAGCAAUACUUUGGUGGCGACCGGCGCACGGGUGAGUAACGCGUAUGCAACCUACCUAUCAGAGGGGGAUAACCCGGCGAAAGUCGGACUAAUACCGCAUAAAACAGGGGCACCGCAUGGUGAUAUUUGUUAAAAAUUUAUUGCUGAUAGAUGGGCAUGCGUUCCAUUAGGUAGUUGGAGAGGUAACGGCUCACCAAGCCUACGAUGGAUAGGGGAACUGAGAGGUUGGUCCCCCACACUGGUACUGAGACACGGACCAGACUCCUACGGGAGGCAGCAGUGAGGAAUAUUGGUCAAUGGGCGAGAGCCUGAACCAGCCAAGUCGCGUGAAGGAAGAAGGAUCUAUGGUUCGUAAACUUCUUUUGCAGGGGAAUAAAGUGCAGGACGUGUCCUGUUUUGUAUGUACCCUGAGAAUAAGGAUCGGCUAACUCCGUGCCAGCAGCGCGGUAA
rnacentral:rRNA from 1 species